rnacentral:rRNA from 1 species
CUACCAACUGAGACAUUAGGAGUUUAGAUGUGACAGAGAAAAAAAAAGUCCACCUCGUCGCUGCAUCGCUCUGUCCUGUCCCCGCCACCGCCGGAGAAAUGCCACCCCGGAGGCGGGAUCGCCGGAGUCAUCGCGACCCCUCACCGUCUCCCUCCCGCCCAAGCGGGCCACGAGCUUCCCCCUCGAGCCCCCGCCUCCGCCUCGCCUUCAUCGUCCCUCCCCUGCUUCUCCUCGUCCUCACAGUGCUUCACUUCACCGGCCUCCUUUCCCUAUCCCCUCCUUACCCCCAAACGCCGGGGAAGACCCCACUCUCCGUCUAUGAUCGCGGCCUAGUCAAGCGCCAAGUCUCUGCCGGCGAGAUCCUUGCCGAGCACGCUAGGGUUUCGGAGAACCAGUCGCGCCGCCAUUUCCCCAACCCCGUCCUGGCCUACGUGACCCCCUGGAAUUCUAAAGGCUAUGAUAUGGCAAAGUUGUUCAGCACGAAGCUUACUCAUGUAUCACCAGUGUGGUAUGACUUGAAGAGUGAUGGGAAUAUGCUAUCUUUGGAAGGACAGCACAAUUAUGAUGCUGGAUGGGUCUCCGAACUUCAAAAUAACGGUUCUUUGGUAGUGCCAAGAGUUGUCUUAGAGGCAUUCCCUGGUGUUGUACUUCUGAAAAAGAAGCCAAGGGACAAAACCAUUGAACUAAUAGUGAGCGAAUGCAGGGAUAAGGGGUAUGAUGGUGUUGUGCUGGAAUCCUGGUCAAGAUGGGCUGCUUAUGGUGUGCUAGAUGAUCCAGAGCUGCGCCAACUGGCACUUCAGUUUGUUAAGCAGCUGGGCGAGGCUUUGCAUUCUAUCAGUUCAAAAUCAAGUACCAGGAACCAUUUGGAACUAAUUUAUGUUAUCCCAGCUCCACGGAUGGAAGGGCCCAACAAUCAAGACUUUGGACCAAAAGAUCUCCUGCAGUUGGCUGAUUCAGUAGAUGGUUUUUCUCUUAUGACAUAUGACUUCUCUGGACCACAAAACCCUGGCCCCAGUGCACCUCUGAAGUGGAUACAAUAUUCUUUGACAACACUUCUUCCAGCCAAGGGUUCUGCUUCUCAAGGCCAUUCUCACAUGAUAUUCCUUGGGAUUAAUUUCUAUGGGAAUGAUUUUCUACUUUUUAAAGGUGGUGGUGGUAGUUCUAUUACUGGAAGAGAUUUUAUUCAUUUACUUGAGAAGUACAAGCCAUCUUUGCAAUGGGAUGACAAAAGUUCAGAGCAUUUUUUUAUAUAUUCGGAUAAAGGUGUGAGGCAUGCUGUAUUUUAUCCGACGCUGUUGUCUCUUUCUGUACGUUUGGAUGAAGCGCAAGAUUGGGGGGCAGGGCUUUCAAUCUGGGAAAUUGGACAAGGCUUCCUUACUAGUGCAGUUACAGAUUUACAGUAA